UACAGAGGGGGCAAGCGUUGUUCGGAAUCACUGGGCUUAAAGGGCGCGUAGGCGGAUUUGCAAGUCUGCGGUGAAAUCCUCCAGCUUAACUGGAGAAGUGCCGUGGAUACUGCGAGUCUCGAGGAAGGUAGGGGCAUCUGGAACUGCCGGUGGAGCGGUGAAAUGCGUUGAUAUCGGCAGGAACUCCGGUGGCGAAGGCGAGAUGCUGGAUCUUUUCUGACGCUGAGGCGCGAAAGCCAGGGGAGCAAACGGG
rnacentral:rRNA from 1 species